GACGUAGGGGGCCAGCGUUGUUCGGAAUUACUGGGUGUAAAGGGUUCGUAGGCGGUGUAGCAAGUCGGGAGUGAAAUCUCUGGGCUUAACCCAGAGGCUGCUUCCGAAACUGCUGUGCUUGAGUGUGGGAGAGGCGCGUGGAAUUCCUGGUGUAGCGGUGAAAUGCGCAGAUAUCAGGAGGAACACCAUGCGAAGGCAGCUCGCUGGAACGGAACUGACGCUGAGGCGCGAAAGCGUGGGGAGCGAACAGG
rnacentral:rRNA from 1 species